GUCUAUGCCCAUGUCACCCUGAACAAGCAGGAUCCCGUCUGAUCUCCGAAGCUAAGCAGGGUUGGGCCUAGUUAGUACUUGGAUUGGAGACCAGGUGCUGUAGGCA
rnacentral:rRNA from 1 species